rnacentral:rRNA from 1 species
GACGAACGCUGGCGGCGUGCCUAAUACAUGCAAGUAGAACGCUGAAGGAGGAGCUUGCUCUUCUGGAUGAGUUGCGAACGGGUGAGUAACGCGUAGGUAACCUGCCUGGUAGCGGGGGAUAACUAUUGGAAACGAUAGCUAAUACCGCAUAAGAGUAGAUGUUGCAUGACAUUUGCUUAAAAGGUGCAAUUGCAUCACUACCAGAUGGACCUGCGUUGUAUUAGCUAGUUGGUGGGGUAACGGCUCACCAAGGCGACGAUACAUAGCCGACCUGAGAGGGUGAUCGGCCACACUGGGACUGAGACACGGCCCAGACUCCUACGGGAGGCAGCAGUAGGGAAUCUUCGGCAAUGGACGGAAGUCUGACCGAGCAACGUCGCGUGAGUGAAGAAGGUUUUCGGAUCGUAAAGCUCUGUUGUAAGAGAAGAACGAGUGUGAGAGUGGAAAGUUCACACUGUGACGGUAUCUUACCAGAAAGGGACGGCUAACUACGUG